AUUGAACGCUGGCGGCAGGCCUAACACAUGCAAGUCGAGCGGCAGCGACUUAACUGAACCUUCGGGGAACGUUAAGGGCGGCGAGCGGCGGACGGGUGAGUAAUGCCUGGGAAUAUGCCCUGAUGUGGGGGAUAACUAUUGGAAACGAUAGCUAAUACCGCAUAAUCUCUUCGGAGCAAAGAGGGGGACCUUCGGGCCUCUCGCGUCAGGAUUAGCCCAGGUGGGAUUAGCUUGUUGGUGAGGUAAUGGCUCACCAAGGCAACGAUCCCUAGCUGGUCUGAGAGGAUGAUCAGCCACACUGGAACUGAGACACGGUCCAGACUCCUGCGGGAGGCAGCAGUGGGGAAUAUUGCACAAUGGGGGAAACCCUGAUGCAGCCAUGCCGCGUGUGUGAAGAAGGCCUUCGGGUUGUAAGGCACUUUCAGUAGGGAGGAAGGUAGUGUAGUUAACACCUGCACUAUUUGACGUUACCUACAGAAGAAGCACCGGCUAACUCCGUGCCAGCAGCCGCGGUAAUACGGAGGGUGCGAGCGUUAAUCGGAAUUACUGGGCGUAAAGCGCAUGCAGGCGGCCUGUUAAGUCAGAUGUGAAAGCCCGGGGCUUAACCUCGGAAUUGCAUUUGAAACUGGCAGGCUAGAGUCUUGUAGAGGGGGGUAGAAUUUCAGGUGUAGCGGUGAAAUGCGUAGAGAUCUGAAGGAAUACCAGUGGCGAAGGCGGCCCCCUGGACAAAGACUGACGCUCAGAUGCGAAAGCGUGGGGAGCAAACAGG
rnacentral:rRNA from 1 species